UUGAGACUAGUGUUGGCAAAAAUCCCUGCAAAUUUCGCCUUGGUGAUGAAAAAAUAAUUGAUGGUUGUAACAUGGGCAUUGAUGGUAUGCGUCUUGGUGAUAAGAGGAGACUUAUAA